GAUGAACGCUGGCGGCGUGCCUAAUACAUGCAAGUCGAGCGAACGGACGAGAAGCUUGCUUUUCUGAUGUUAGCGGCGGACGGGUGAGUAACACGUGGAUAACCUACCUAUAAGACUGGGAUAACUUCGGGAAACCGGAGCUAAUACCGGAUAAUAUUUUGAACCGCAUGGUUCAAAAGUGAAAGACGGUCUUGCUGUCACUUAUAGAUGGAUCCGCGCUGCAUUAGCUAGUUGGUAAGGUAACGGCUUACCAAGGCAACGAGGCAUAGCCGACCUGAGAGGGUGAUCGGCCACACUGGAACUGAGACACGGUCCAGACUCCUACGGGAGGGAGCAGUAGGGAAUCUUCCGCAAUGGGCGAAAGCCUGACGCAGCAACGCCGCGUGAGUGAUGAAGGUCUUCGGAUCGUAAAACUCUGUUAUUAGGGAAGAACAUAUGUGUAAGUAACUGUGCACAUCUUGACGGUACCUAAUCAGAAAGCCACGGCUAACUACGUG
rnacentral:rRNA from 1 species